UCACGUUGAAAUACAAGUUCUCAUACGACCACCGAAGUUAAGCAACGUUGAUCCUGGUCGGUAUUUCGAUGGGUGACCGCUUGGGAAUAGUAGAUGCUGUAAU